rnacentral:rRNA from 1 species
GGCGUGCUUAACACAUGCAAGUCGAACGAUGAACCAGGGCUUGCCCUGGGGAUUAGUGGCGAACGGGUGAGUAACACGUGGGCAACCUGCCCCAGACACCGGGACAACCUCUCGAAAGAGUGGCUAAUACCGGACACGACCACUUUGGGCAUCCAACGGUGGUGGAAAGGAUUCUGGUCUGGGAUGGGCCCGGGGCCUAUCAGCUGGUUGGUGGGGUAAUGGCCUACCAAGGCGACGACGGGUAGCCGGCCGGAGAGGGCGACCGGCCACACUGGGACUGAGACACGGCCCAGACUCCUACGGGAGGCAGCAGUGGGGAAUAUUGCGCAAUGGGCGAAAGCCUGACGCAGCGACGCCGCGUGAGGGACGAAGGUCUUCGGAUUGUAAACCUCUUUCAGCAGGGACGAAGCGAAAGUGACUGUACCUGCAGAAGAAGCACCGGCUAACUACGUGCCAGCCGCCGCCGUAAUAC